rnacentral:rRNA from 1 species
UACGUAGGGGGCAAGCGUUGUUCGGAAUUACUGGGCGUAAAGCGCGCGUAGGCGGACCUGCAAGUCGGGGGUGAAAGCCCGAGGCUCAACCUCGGAACUGCCUUCAAUACUGCGGGUCUCGAGUCCGGGAGAGGUGAGUGGAAUUCCUAGUGUAGAGGUGAAAUUCGUAGAUAUUAGGAAGAACACCAGUGGCGAAGGCGGCUCACUGGCCCGGUACUGACGCUGAGGCGCGAAAGCGUGGGGAGCAAACAGG